AUUGAACGCUGGCGGCAGGCCUAACACAUGCAAGUCGAACGAGUGGCGGACGGGUGAGUAAUGUCUGGGAAACUGCCUGAUGGAGGGGGAUAACUACUGGAAACGGUAGCUAAUACCGCAUACCAUCGGAUGUGCCCAGAUGGGAUUAGAGAGUAGGUGGGGUAAAGGCUCACCUAGGCGACGAGCCCUAGCUGGUCUGAGAGGAGGACCAGCCACACUGGAACUGAGUCACAGUCCAGACUCCUUCGGUAUGCAGCAGUGGGGAAUAGGGCACAAUGGGGUCAAGCCCGAUGCAGCCAUGCCGCGGGUAUGAAGAAGGCCUUCGGGUUUUAAAGUACUUUCAGCGGGGAGGCGUUACCCGCAGAAGAAGCACCGGCUAACUCCGUGCCAGCAGCCUGGGUAAUUC
rnacentral:rRNA from 1 species